GGGCAGGUAGUGCGCUGUGUGCAAACUAUAAAAGGUAUCAUGAGGAAAGCCAAACGCAGCGGCCGUGAUCCGAUGUACGCCAUCCUCGAAUACCGCAACACCCCACUUGACGGGACAGGCGGCUAUGCCCCCUCACAGUUACUGAACAGUAGACUGUUAAGAAGCAAAUUGCCAUCGCCUCUAUCACUCUUACUGCCUCAUCAUGUCCCUCCCAUGGGACCACAACUGGCCGUCCGGCAAGAAAAACAGGCAGCAUACUUCAAUGAGAAGGCAAGCGUCGAGCCACUGCCGCGCCUGGAACAACAACAGGUAUGGUUUCAUGCCAAACCAACCCAUUGGCAACGUGGCCGUAUUGCAAGAGGAAA